ACUUCUAUAGUAUAUUAGUAUAUCUGAUUUCCAAUCAGAAGGACAUCUGGUAGGAGU
rnacentral:tRNA from 1 species